GCCUCGUUAUAUCAGUCGGUAGAUAGUGUGACUCUUAAUCACACAGUCAUGGGUUCGAGCGCCAUACGAGGCU
rnacentral:tRNA from 1 species